AUGACCCCCUGGCAGGGGAUAAUCAACCACAGAGCUCCUUCUGAGUUUGCAGAGUAAAGCCUGGCACCCCUUCCACUGGCACCAGCAGGACAGCUCUUCAUCCCAUCCCCUCUUCUGAUUCUGGCUCCUGACCUCUGGCUUUGGAGUUCGACUCCUCAUGCUGAAUGUGGCUCUCGAUUCCUUACUUCAGUUUGCCCAGACGCUCUCAGUAAGUGCCUUGGUUGUUACAGCGAUGAACUGAACAGAGAAUUAAGCAAGUAACGGUCAGUUCAGAGUACAGAAGAUAGCUGAGAAAGAUGAGGAAGGCUGAUAUUGUGGCCACUAGUAAAGCAGAAAGAAGAGAUUGAUGAUGUAUCACCACGAGCAAUAAAGCGCAAGAAACUCCUUGCCAGCACAAAGAGAUGAUCUGGACAAACAGCAGGAAAUGGGUCACUGCAGCUGUGUCUGCUUUGGAGGCUGUGAGAAUGAAAGAAGUCAAAAGGAGAAAAUUGCAGCAAUCAAAAUAGAGGGCAGUUAGGGCCCAUAUGGGCCCUUCAGUAUCAUGGGCAGAGUGAGAAAUCCAGGUUUUAUAGGUGGUGUGUGACAUCACAGGAAGAAUUAUGGGAUUAUCAGAGGGGAGAAAGGGAACAUAAUGAGAAUUUGAGGAAUGUCAUUAACCACACAUGCUUUCUGUUAAGUUCUGCUCAAAACUUCACUUCUACUUCUCCUGAAUUACUUUGUGCUUAUCUUUGAGAAGCAGGGAAAUAGAAAGAUCAAGUAGACUGAAUAGGAGUGAAAGUCAGAGAAAACAAGAACGGAUGAAGAACGGGUGCCUUAGAACUGUCUCAACCAGCAUACAUGUACUGCACUCGAUGGCUCCAAGUAGAUAAUUCCCAUGUUAUUUAGGAUAGGGCUUAAUCCCAGAUUACUGAUAAAUUUCUCUCCCAAUGCCCAUCUUCAUUUCUUUGCCUACACAGCACUUAGAUUCCUCCUGCCUACCACGAUCUCCAAGAUAAUCAAUUCCCCCCUUGUUAGGUAGGUCCCUCAGAAGCCCUGUCUGCCAAAAAUGCCAGCUCCCCCUCACUAUCUUCUGCACAGAUGCAUGACAGCAAAGCUGUUCUUCCUGUACAGCAUUAGCCAUAUUGUUAACUUCGAACAUUCAUCCGUUUAGGAAGGCAAUCCUACACAGGCUUCACAUUCAGGAGCCUCGUGGCUCUAUUCCUUGUAUUCUUUUAGGAAACCUGACUUCCGAUACAACUGACCUAUUUCUCAGCUAUGCCUCUGGAUUGCAGCUGGGUUGUGUCAGUACUGCUAGAGGCACUUUAGCAAAGUCCAAAAGCAAGAGAUUAAUUAUACUUGGAGAUAGGGGAGAACUAUCUGCACCACAUGUAAUACACAUAUUAAUAUGUAUUUUGUAUGGCUACGGAAUAUAAAUUAUGCACAGCUAGCUUUUUCCACUUCCCUCUCUUUAACAGUAAAAAUGCCUCUAACACAGUCCUGCUCUAGUCUCCUUAUACUUGACAGUAUCUAGAACAAGCAGUGGUCAGCCUUUUCCCCCUGGCUGGGGGAUGCAGCAGUCAGUGCGACACCGGGUAUGUCUGCGAUGUCCUCCCUUCGUGCUCUUUGCUAACCCUCCCCAGCUACAACCAAGCCAGCGGGGGGAGGAAACCCUCACAGUCAAACCCAGAAAGCACUGAGUGGAAACAAAUAAGGUUGCUAAGGAACAGUAAAGAUAAACUCCAACCCAUAAAAUCCAGGAAACAGAAAGGAGUUCAUAUGCUCUUUUCAAACACACGUCACUCAUUGCUCUCAGUGCUCAGUCUGUCACAUCAGACUAGCACAGGGCUCAGGCUCUGAUUGUAUGCGCCCAGGACCGAUACCCAAGAAUGUGGACAUCUCAAGAACCUAGCACAUCAUGCCACUUAACAAUAUCUACCUCUCACCCUAGUUUUCUUAAUUGCACCACACAUAAAGAGAGCCAAGUAAACUUGCAGUGCAGUGCAGAUAGACUCUAAAUUCUGUCUAUCAUUAGUUAUCCAUAACGACAGUAGCCUCAUUAACAUAUGCCAGUGGCACAGUUGGGCAACAUCAGCAUACAAACAGAGGCACAAAUGAUACUUUCCCUGCCAUUGCCAUCCUGCCAGCUAAAGACAGCACAGGUUUGACUGCUGAUUUGCAGCUCCACCUCCAUUUUACCGCACUGGUACAGCCUCGGGAGCCACGCUUUGCCCACAGGGAUUUUCUUGAAACCAGAUCUAUUACUGCACUCAACUGUAAAUAAAGCUAUCUCUAGUGUGUUGGGAGGUAAGAUGAAAGCCAGGGGAAAGGGGUGAACAUGCCAGUUAUGCCUUGCCCAAGCCAUGCAGACCCCAGGGGUAUGUUUGUGUGUUUUCAGUGCCUGGUGAACUCUGGAAGCAAGGGGCAAUCGAGGCAAGGCAAGCCCCUUUCAUCAGCUGCCCUUUGGGCACCUUCCUCAUGCACACAGCUACAUUGCAGCACCUGACAAAUUUCAUCACACUUUAGAAGAGUCUGGAAAAUAAGAACGUGCCACCAGAAAGGUUAUAUUUAGCCCUCCUAUCUCCAUUCACCUUGAGUUAAAUCAGAUACUCAGAAUGUAGCGAUUGCCUACCAUGCAUACGUGCAGUUGUACAUGCCGUACAUCUGAAAUCACAUUAGCCACCAGCCUUGUGGUUUAAUCAGUGCUUCACAGCAAGGUUGAAACCUCUCUGAAAGAAGUGAGGUGAACUCAGUUGCUAAUUUGGCUUCAUCCUAUCUCGUCAUACAGAGAUCAGAGUGGUUCAUUUC